UGACUCCCCCCCCCCCAAAAUCAUUUCAUUGCUACUUCAGAACUGUAAUUUUGCUACUGGUAUGAAUUAUAAUAUAAACAUCUCCCACACUCCCAUGCAUACUCACAGGUUGAGAACUGCUGCUCUACAGCCUGCUUCAGUUCCUGCCUCCAGUUCCUGCUUUGGUUUCCUGCCCUGACUUCCCUCGGUGAUAGACCCUGGUUUUGGAACUCUGUGUCUGCGUGUUGUAGUGUUAUGAACUUGUCAAGGUAGAACCAGAUUCCGACCGCUCACUCUGGCGCCUCAGGUGGCAAUGUGUGUCAGCAAUUGCAGUUUCAGGAUCUGGCCCAGCAGUCUCAAAAUAUGCCAGAAAGAACCAUCUUGUCAUCAUUUCUUUCAAUUUCAUGGUGCCAGGAUAGAGCCCAAGCCUGUAGGCUACCUGGGCAACUGUCCUACCAAGCAGCUCACCCCUCCCACCACCGUCCUUUUAGCAGCUGAAGGAGCAGGCACUUUAGUGCCUCUCACACUGAUCAAGGUUUUCAGAAGACAGAAGGAAACUAGGCACCAAAACCUCACUCACACGGAGCUUGUGUGCAGAAGGGUGUGAACCAGACGCCGCUUAAACACAUCUGGUUUUGUUUUUAUUUUUUUGUUUGUUUACUGCUUUUUGUUUUGUGUUGCUUUGUUUUGAGUCAGGGCCUUACUUUGUGGCUCUAAGUUACAUCCUCAAAUACAUCCCUAGUCUCUGCCUCCCAAGUGCGGAGGUUAAAGGCAUGUGCCACAACCAUGCAUAGUUUAACCGUGUUUUUCUUUACUCUACUUGUAACGCUGAGAAUGUAGCUAAUGGGUAGACUAUGUGCUUAGAGUGUGCAAGGCCUCAGGCUCAACGGCCAGCGUCAGAGCAGUCACCUGCUGCUAUGGAAAUCUUAACGACUUCAUUAUGGAUUUUUAAGAACACCUACGGAAAAACAUUAUACCACAAUCUGUUAUUUUUCUGAAUCUAAGAAAGUGUGAUGAUUCACCCUAUUAGCUCGUUUAAAGUUUAUAAUAUAAGUGGUUACUUUCCCGUGAAUAAAAUUUUAUACCUCUCCU
rnacentral:lncRNA from 1 species